CGAACGCUGGCGGCAUGGAUUAGGCAUGCAAGUCGAACGCUCACCGGCAAGGUGGGAGUGGCGGAAGGGGUGAGGAACACGUGAGUAAUCUACUCCAAGUUGGGAAUAACAGUUGGAAACGACUGCUAAUACCGAAUGUGGCUGUUGGACCGCAUGGUUUGACGGCUAAAGAUUUAUCGCUUGGAGAUGAGCUCGCGUCCCAUUAGCUAGUUGGUGAGGUAACGGCUCACCAAGGCGACGAUGGGUAGCUGGUCUGAGAGGAUGGUCAGCCACACUGGGACUGAGACACUGCCCAGACUCCUACGGGAGGCUGCAGUCGAGAAUCUUGGGCAAUGCGCGAAAGCCGUGACCCAGCAAUGCCGCGUGCGGGAUGAAGGUCUUCGGAUUGUAAACCGCUGUCACUCGGGACGAACAAAAUGACGGUACCGAGGGAGGAAGCCACGGCUAACUACGUGCCAGCCGCCGC
rnacentral:rRNA from 1 species